rnacentral:tRNA from 1 species
GGAGGUACUGUGGCUCAGUGGUAGGACAUCUGCUUGGCAUGCUAGAGGUUCCAGGUUCAAUCCUUGGCAUCUCCA